CAAAAAUAAAUGAAAUAAUUUUGUAAUUCCUUUCCAAACUGAAAGAUUGCACGAAAUAACGACGAAAGAAGAAGAGGAAGAAUAAGAAAAAACUCUCCCCUGUAGUUAUCCAAUUAAUCCCCACUCUUUUAAACCACACUUGCAACCGACGAAACGAAACACGAUCGAGAAAACUGGAAAAUUCGAACCAUAUUCGAAAUUCGGAAAUGUCUUCGCGUCCCGCGCGAAUAUAAAAAUCGCUAACAAUGGAACGAUAAUUAAAACAGCAUCGAAUAACUGGGCAACAGGGAGGACUCUCGAAAACAGGGUGAGCCCUGCGCGAGCACACUCUCCGCAGUGUGUAUCCACACGAAUGAAUUAAUGCGAGUUGAUCAGAGGGGCGGGUGACGGCUGUCGAUCGAUCGAAACCGAUUGACCAACUUCCUGUGUUUCAAUUUUCCAACGCUAAUUUCUGGUUUCGCGUUCCACCCUCUUCUCGCGCCUCCAUUAUACCGACCAAUCGACCGUGAACAGGUUUUCGAUUGCCGUGUAUCCAAGCAGGAGGGAGUCAAUCUGUUUCUCUUUGCGCUUCUCUUUCGUUUCGUCGCAAGAAAAAAGGAAAAAGAAGAAGAAGAAGAAGAAAGAGCAGCAACGUAAUCAAAGCUGGUGUGUCGAGAAAAUCGCGCCCACCCCUCGAAAAAUUGUGAAAAAUGUAAAUGGAUUUUUGCGAAAGGAAGUAAUUACGUAUCGCCGCGGGAUAAUUGGAGGGAGGAAAAUAAUUAUGGCGCAUCGUCCACGUGGUAUUGCUUUAUUUUUUUUAUUUUUUAUUUUUUUCGCGAGAGGAUACAGGGUGUUUGAGAAACUUUCGUGUGACUGGAUUCGUUGUAAUUUUUAGCAACAUGAAAGGACGAUAUAAAGUUUUCUCGUUGUUUCCUUUUUGUUUUUUUUGUUUGCAGUUCGUUCAACUGAGUUUCCUG